GUGAGGAAUUUUCCGCAAUGGGCGAAAGCCUGACGGAGCAAUGCCGCGUGAAGGAUGAAGGCCUAUGGGUUGUAAACUUCUUUUCUCAGAAAAGAAUUAUGACGGUAUCUGAGGAAUAAGCAUCGGCUAACUCUGUGCCAGCAGCCGCGGUAAGACAGAGGAUGCAAGCGUUAUCCGGAAUGAUUGGGAGUAAAGCGUCUGUAGGUUGUUUAAAAAGUAUUCUGUCAAAGAUUAGGGCUUAACCCUAGAUAGGCAGAAUAAACUUUUAAGCUAGAGUUUGGUAGAGGCAGAGGGAAUUCCCGGUGGAGCGGUGAAAUGCGUAGAUAUCGGGAGGAACACCAAAGGCGAAGGCACUCUGCUGGGCCAAUACUAACACUGAGAGACGAAAGCGAGGGGAGCAAAUGGGAUUAGAAACCCCUGUAGUCC
rnacentral:rRNA from 1 species